rnacentral:rRNA from 1 species
CAGUCGCCGCGGUAAUACGGAGGGUGCAAGCGUUAAUCGGAAUUACUGGGCGUAAAGCGCACGCAGGCGGUUUGUUAAGUCAGAUGUGAAAUCCCCGAGCUUAACUUGGGAACUGCAUUUGAAACUGGCAAGCUAGAGUAUGGCAGAGGGGGGUAGAAUUCCACGUGUAGCAGUGAAAUGCGUAGAGAUGUGGAGGAAUACCGAUGGCGAAGGCAGCCCCCUGGGCCAAUACUGACGCUCAUGCACGAAAGCGUGGGGAGCAAACAGGAUUAGAGACCCCUGUAGUCCCUGUCUCUUAUAC